GACAGAGGGUGCAAACGUUGUUCGGAAUUACUGGGCGUAAAGCGUGUGUAGGCGGCUGUUCAAGUCGGGUGUGAAAGCCCCGGGCUCAACCCGGGAAGUGCACUCGAUACUGGAUGGCUUGAGUCUUGGAGAGGUUGGUGGAAUUCUCGGUGUAGAGGUGAAAUGCGUAGAUAUCUGGAGGAACACCGGUGGCGAAGGCGGCAUCCUGGACCAUGACUGACGCUGAGGAGCGAAAGCCAGGGGAGCAAACGGG
rnacentral:rRNA from 1 species